rnacentral:rRNA from 1 species
CCUGAGAAACGGCUACCACAUCCAAGGAAGGCAGCAGGCACGCAAAUUACCCACUCCCGGCACGGGGAGGUAGUGACAAAAAAUAACGAUACGGGACUCAUAUGAGGCCCCGUAAUCGGAAUGAGUACACUUUAAAUCCUUUAACAAGGAUCCAUUGGAGGGCAAGUCUGGUGCCAGCAGCCGCGGUAAUUCCAGCUCCAAUAGCGUAUAUUAAAGUUGUUGCGGUUAAAAAGCUCGUAGUUGGUUCUGCGUGCUACGCUGUCGGUUCGCCGCCUGCCGGUGUAACUGGCAUGCCGUGGCAUGUCCUGUCGGUGGCGUUCGGGAGCUUCGUCUAGGUGUCACCUCCGAACCGCAAGGAACGGGUGGUUGUACAACCGGGAGCCUCCCCGUUCGCCUACUCUAUCCUACCUAGGUGCUCUUCACCGAGUGUCGAGGUAGGCCGACACGUUUACUUUGAACAAAUUAGAGUGCUCAAAGCAGGCUGAAAUUUCUGCCUGAAUAGUGGUGCAUGGAAUAAUAAAACAGGACCUCGGUUCUAUUUUGUUGGUUCUUAGGAACACGAGGUAAUGAUCAAUACGGACAGGCGGGGGCAUUCGUAUUGCGACGUUAGAGGUGAAAUUCUUGGAUCGUCGCAAGAC